CUACUACUCCCUCUGUUCCGAAUUACUCGUCACAGAAAUGGAUGUAUCUAGAUGUAUUUUAGUUCUAGAUACAUCCAUUUUUGCGACGAGUAAUUUGGAACGGAGGGAGUAUGUG
rnacentral:pre_miRNA from 1 species